CGGGGCCGUCGCUCGGGGGCGAGGGUUCGCGCCGCGGCUCGCGCCCGCUUCUCCCGCUUUACGGCUGCUGAAAACCCGGCCCGGCCCGGCAGCCGUACCGCAGACGAGCCCGCGCCUGUGCCCGCGCCGCUCAGGAGGCUGAGGGAAGAAAAGGAUAAUUUAAAUGAAAUUUAGUUUCUAUAAAGAAAACGAUUAAAAACAAGUUGCUGCUGAUACUGAAUCCAGAGAGGUGAACAGAUUUCCCCUUCCUAAUAAUACAACCACAGCAACAGCAGCUGUGAC
rnacentral:lncRNA from 1 species